GACAGAGGGUGCAAACGUUGUUCGGAAUUACUGGGCGUAAAGCGUGUGUAGGCGGCCACGUAAGUCGGAUGUGAAAGCCCCGGGCUCAACCCGGGAAGUGCAUUCGAUACUGCAUGGCUUGAGUAUCGGAGAGGUUGGUGGAAUUCUCGGUGUAGAGGUGAAAUUCGUAGAUAUCGAGAGGAACACCGGUGGCGAAGGCGGCCAACUGGACGAAUACUGACGCUGAGACACGAAAGCGUGGGGAGCAAACAGG
rnacentral:rRNA from 1 species